GUCUGUGUGUGAGAUUGUGAGUGGGAGCGUCUGUGUGUGAGAUUGUGAGUGGGAGCGUCUGUGUGUGAGAUUGUGAGUGGGAGCGUCUGUGUGUGAGAUUGUGACUGGGAGCGUCUGUGUGUGAGAUUGUGACUGGGAGCGUCUGUGUGUGAGAUUGUGAGUGGGAGCGUCUGUGUGUGAGAUUGUGAGUGGGAGCGUCUGUGUGUGAGAUUGUGAGUGGGAGCGUCUGUGUGUGAGAUUGUGAGUGGGAGUGUAAUAAAGAUUAAAAUCUAGACAUAUUCUUGUAUAGACAUAUUCAUAUAUUUUUGUACAGAUCGCACUCAGAAGUGCUCCAGUUGCUGGGGCUCACUGUCUGCAAAAGAUAGGGUGCAGUGCCAGAAGUGCAAGGCUUGCUACCACACAAGAUGUUUGAAAACUGCAUGUGCCAUCUGUGCUGUAUGUGAAAGCGAGGAUGAAAGUGAGCCCAUCCUGGUGGUGGAUGCAGAGCACACAGUCUGAGAAGAAAAGG